UACGUAGGGUGCGAGCGUUAAUCGGAAUUACUGGGCGUAAAGCGCGCGUAGGCGGCUUUGCAAGUCGGGUGUGAAAUCCCCAGGCUUAACCUGGGAACUGCAUUCGAGACUGCAUUGCUAGAGUAUGGGAGAGGGAAGUGGAAUUUCCGGUGUAGCGGUGAAAUGCGUAGAUAUCAGGAGGAACACCGGUGGCGAAGGCGGAUCUCUGGGCCGUAACUGACGCUGAGGAGCGAAAGCAUGGGGAGCGAACAGG
rnacentral:rRNA from 1 species